ACCAGUGUGAUGACAAAGUGGAUGCUGUUACUAAAUGUGAAAUAACACGUCAUCCAGAGGUUUUGGUGCUGCUGCUGAAGAGGUUUGACUUUGACUACCAUUACAUGAGAUAUGUGAAAAACAACCGUCUUGUGGGUAUUCCCUGCACACUACACAUCCCACAGGGUCAGACAUAUGAACUGUAUGCAGUUGUGGAUCACAGAGGUGAUCUUAGAAGUGGACAUUACAGUGCAA